rnacentral:rRNA from 1 species
UGAGGAAUUUUGCGCAAUGGGGGAAGCCCUGACGCAGCAACGCCGCGUGGGUGAUGAAGGCCUUCGGGUCGUAAAGCCCUGUCGGGCGGGAAGAACGUCCCUUUAAGGGAGUGACGGUACCGCCAGAGGAAGCACCGGCUAACUACGUGCCAGCAGCCGCGGUAAUACGGAGGGUGCGAGCGUUAUUCGGACUUACUGGGCGUAAAGGGCGUGCAGGCGGGAGUGCAAGUCUGAUGUGAAAGCCCGGGGCUUAACCCCGGAAGGGCAUUGGAAACUGCU